GGGAGAGCUAAAGAGAUCAGGAUCUCAGUAGUUCAGCUAUAAAACACAGGGGAGGGAAUAGAAUCAGGAUUUUUGUUAUUUCCAGUGCCUGUGGUUCAGUACAAGCACAGACUAUCCCAUGCUGGAAUUCAGUGUUCCUAAAUCCAAGCCCCCCAGAGCCAUCCCAAAGCCCUGAGGUGAUAAGGAGUUGGGAUUCCAUCAGCAGCCUGAGGUCACUUCUGUCCUGAUGGCCUCGAGGUCCCUCCAUGCCCAGCUGGGAGCUUCAAGCCCAAGGACGGAGUUCCCAGAGCCAGCAGCAGCUCCUUGUGCUUGCCAGGAGCUGGCUUGUGUUUGAAGUGCCCUGCUGGUUAUUUCUGCCCUGCUGGAGCCAGUUUCCCCGUGC